UAGAGGUCACCCAGGAAGGAGAUGUAGAAAAAGUGCAUCAUCCUGGCUGACUUCUGCU
ensembl:miRNA mdo-mir-7377 mdo-mir-7377